rnacentral:rRNA from 1 species
UACGGGGGGGGCAAGCGUUGUUCGGAAUUACUGGGCGUAAAGCGAGUGUAGGCGGUUCGAUAAGUUUGGUGUGAAAUCUCCCGGCUCAACUGGGAGGGUGCGCCGAAGACUGUCGAGCUAGAGUGUGGGAGAGGUAGGCGGAAUUCCUGGUGUAGCGGUGAAAUGCGUAGAUAUCAGGAGGAACACCUGCGGUGUAGACGGCUUACUGGACCACGACUGACGCUGCAACUCGAAAGUGUGGGGAGCAAACAGG